rnacentral:rRNA from 1 species
UGCAAGUCGAACGAUGAAGGGAGCUUGCUCCUGGAUUAGUGGCGAACGGGUGAGUAACACGUGAGUAACCUGCCCUUGACUCUGGGAUAAGCCUGGGAAACUGGGUCUAAUACCGGAUAUGACUGACUAUCGCAUGGUGGUUGGUGGAAAGCUUUUGUGGUUUUGGAUGGACUCGCGGCCUAUCAGCUUGUUGGUGGGGUAAUGGCCUACCAAGGCGACGACGGGUAGCCGGCCUGAGAGGGUGACCGGCCACACUGGGACUGAGACACGGCCCAGACUCCUACGGGAGGCAGCAGUGGGGAAUAUUGCACAAUGGGCGCAAGCCUGAUGCAGCGACGCCGCGUGAGGGAUGACGGCCUUCGGGUUGUAAACCUCUUUCAGUAGGGAAGAAGCGUAAGUGACGGUACCUGCAGAAGAAGCGCCGGCUAACUACGUGCCAGCAGCCGCGGUAAUACGUAGGGCGCAAGCGUUAUCCGGAAUUAUUGGGCGUAAAGAGCUCGUAGGCGGUUUGUCGCGUCUGCCGUGAAAGUCCGGGGCUCAACUCCGGAUCUGCGGUGGGUACGGGCAGACUAGAGUGAUGUAGGGGAGACUGGAAUUCCUGGUGUAGCGGUGAAAUGCGCAGAUAUCAGGAGGAACACCGAUGGCGAAGGCAGGUCUCUGGGCAUUAACUGACGCUGAGGAGCGAAAGCAUGGGGAGCGAACAGGAUUAGAUACCCUGGUAGUCCAUGCCGUAAACGUUGGGCACUAGGUGUGGGGGACAUUCCACGUUUUCCGCGCCGUAGCUAACGCAUUAAGUGCCCCGCCUGGGGAGUACGGCCGCAAGGCUAAAACUCAAAGGAAUUGACGGGGGCCCGCACAAGCGGCGGAGCAUGCGGAUUAAUUCGAUGCAACGCGAAGAACCUUACCAAGGCUUGACAUGAACCGGACCGCCGUAGAAAUGUGGUUUCCCCUUUGGGGCUGGUUUACAGGUGGUGCAUGGUUGUCGUCAGCUCGUGUCGUGAGAUGUUGGGUUAAGUCCCGCAACGAGCGCAACCCUCGUUCUAUGUUGCCAGCACGUGAUGGUGGGGACUCAUAGGAGACUGCCGGGGUCAACUCGGAGGAAGGUGGGGACGACGUCAAAUCAUCAUGCCCCUUAUGUCUUGGGCUUCACGCAUGCUACAAUGGCCGGUACAAAGGGUUGCGAUACUGUGAGGUGGAGCUAAUCCCAAAAAGCCGG